rnacentral:rRNA from 1 species
UACCAGCACCCCGAGUGGUCGGGACGAUUAUUGGGCCUAAAGCAUCCGUAGCCGGUUCUACAAGUCUUCCGUUAAAUCCACCUGCUUAACAGAUGGGCUGCGGAAGAUACUAUAGAGCUAGGAGGCGGGAGAGGCAAGCGGUACUCGAUGGGUAGGGGUAAAAUCCGUUGAUCCAUUGAAGACCACCAGUGGCGAAGGCGGGUCUCUGGGCCGAUACUGACGCUGGAGGAGCGAAAGCGUGGGGAGCGAACAGG